CGGUCAAAUCACACUGAAACACCGGUUCUCGUACGAUCACCGAAGUUAAGCAGCGUAGAGCCAGGUCAGUACUGAGAUGGGGGACCGCUUGGGAACACCUAGUACUGUAAG
rnacentral:rRNA from 1 species